AUAAAAUAAACACAUGGGCGAUAUUUUUGAUGGGCUAGUAAAUUAAGCGGGUAACGGGUAAUACCCGCGGGUGAGAAGUGUUGCCCGUAUCCUUACCCGUGGGCGAGAUUUCUUACCCGUAUCCAUAUCCAUCGGGUACGAAACCCGUGGAUAUCCGUGCCUGCGGGAAGAAUUGCCAUCCCUACCUAUUCUCCAUAGGGAUUGAAGGGAAAAUUAGUUUAUUUUCCUUCAAUCCACUCCAACGGCUGGAGCAUAGGGCGGAGCUCAGUGUAUAUCCUGGAAUAGCUCAGUGUAUUCCCUGGAAUACCCUGCAUUUUUGUACACAUACAAUAUUUAACCCGUUUAAAUAAAAAAUAGAUAAUAAAACUAGUUUGGUCCAUCACAGUACACAAUCGAUGGCCCAUUAGGUCCAUUUGGCGUUCCCAGUUGCCCUCCACGCUCAGACGCUCUACCUCGCUCGAAUCCUCGAUCCCACCGGUGGCGGCUGAGCGGCUCCAAGCUCCUAAGCACGACGGCGCCACUGCGGACUGCGGUACGCCUGUUGCUGAGCUCCUACGCGCCUGUGGACGACCGGUCGUGGCUCCGCGCGCGUGCGAGACGGCGUCGCGGCGAGCGGUGCGCCGGCGCCGUGGCCGUGCGCUCGUCCGCAGCGGGCCCGUGGGCGGCAGGGCGAGCACCGAGGUCUUUGUCGUUCGUCAGGCCUUUCGCCGGCGACAUGCACCAACCUGUGAUGGCCCUUGGACGCCGGCGAGAAGGCGCUUGGACGUGAGCGACACCAGGCGAUACCGCGAUACAGUGUGUCUAGGUGCCUUAAGGUGAAAAGAUAGGAGCCAAGAGCUAGACUACUAGAGUUCAGGCUUCGCCACGAAACCCCAAACUUCCCCGGCGUCAUCCUCGUUCUGCGAUCCAAGAUGCAUAAGCUGAGGAGAGGAAACCGCGACAAGCUGUAGCAGUUCAUGACCAUAAGUGGCGCCAGGUAUGGUUGUUUAUCUGCUGUUGAAAUUGGAACGUUGUGGGCGGUGUGGCCAUUGGCAAGGUAGAUAGUAUUUCUGUAGUUAAUUUGUUGCUUGAAAUCUUGCUGAGAUUGUGCAUCAUAUAAUAGUUCAAGAUGCCUAAACUUGCUACUGAUCCAUGCACGAUAUGCUUGUUUGGUCUACUAUAGAUAUGGAAUUUAGUGCUUGCCAUAAUAUUGUAGUUUUAAAAUCUGGUAGCAAUUCUGGGGCUCUGGGUAGAAAUCUAUUUUGUUGCUUUCUAUGCGGGUGCUACAUUAAUUCUGUCUCAUUCUUGUGUAGUUCUGUAUGCAUAUACUUCCGUAGAAAUCCUACUAGCUUCGGAAUGCAAGUAAAGUAAGUAGUUAUCUACGAUGAUUUUUGUUUAGCCAGUAUAAAUCAUUUUCUUUCGUGCGUUUGAACCUGAAACCUGACCGUCCCUUACUUAUGUCGGCUAGCUAUGACCGUCAUAGAUUAAUUAUUUACGGCGGUUAGCCGAUGUAAAUAAACUUAUUUACGAUGCUUUAUUAGUAACGACCUAGAACCGAUGUAAAUAAAUCAAAAACUGAUGUAAAUAACAAUUUAUUAAGCCUUAUUUACAAUGGUUUUAGGCCGACCUAGAUUCGUCGGAUUCCUGUAGGUAUGAAAUGAUAGUGAGUACAACACACCAAAACACUUUAGCACAAGGACUAGAAAGCAAAUAACCGAGCAAAGCAAAUUACUCUACAUGGUUAUGCCUAAGCCUAAGCACUAACACAACAAGAGAUAUAGAGUUACUCGAUUAAGACAUGAUUAGAACUAGCUUGUCGAUUACAAAAGCAAAUUAACUACAUAAGCACAAAUAUGAGCGGUAAGAAAGGAGUUGUACAUGGUAGAGUACCUUUUGUUUUUUUGUUUAAGGUAUUCCCUGAUCAUUGUGAUAAGUUGCUGGGUCCCAGCGAGGCAGCGACAGUGCUGACAUAGUCUCCCUUGAACACGGACGGCCUAUCUUCUUCGGUCACCACUUCAUGGAGGAUUGUUUUGAAAACGACAUUGAUGUCCGGAUUCCUGGACACGGAUAAGAAGGACCGAUGUUCGAAUCGAUUCUUAAGUUGUUGAUAUACCUGGUAUGCCAGGGUCGUUUUCCCCAGCCCUCCAGAUCCAACAAUAUAGACAAUCUGGCGUUGCCGCUGCUCCUGGUGGCCUUCUUGUUCCAGUCGUCCCAGCAGCAGUCUGGUGACCUCGUCCUUUGCUCCGUCGAUGCCAACAGGCUUCCUCGCAUCCUCAAAUAUAGCUAGCGCUCUUGGAUCGAUGGAUGAUGAUCUGGCUUUGGCCACCGGACGGUCGGUACUGUAACUCUUACGCCUUGCGUCCGCCUCCAUGACUUUCCUCUUGAUGGCGUCGAACUCCUUGCCUAUCCGGUGGCGACUCUUGGUCCUCUCCAGCAGGCUCGCCAUCUUCUCCAUGAUGCCGUCUGGCUUGGCGGCAUGCUGCACGAAGAAGUCGUCGAGGCUGUCUUCGAUGUCGUAGGAGAGCUCCCGCACGUCCUUCAUCCACAGCUUGCGUUGUUCAUCAGGAGGAGUCUCGUCCCUGGACAUGUCGGUGAGGAAGGCCUUCAUGGCAACCAGCUCGCCAGUGAGCCACUCCAUCUUGCCGCGCAUUCCCGUGAGGCGCCUGUACUCAUCGCGGAGCAGAGCUUGCAGCUUCGCCACAACGGACUGCAGGGCUCCGGUUGCUGCGCUCGCAAGAGCGCCCUCCAUUGUAUUCCUAGCUAAGCUCUCUUUGAACUAGGUACCUUGGUUUCUUUCUUGCUGCCAAUGGAUGUCUACGAUCUGUUGUUCAUAUAUGUAUGUAGUAGUAGCAUAGAGUUUUGUGCUAGUUAUUAUUAGUUAUUUGCGCAUGAUGCGCGUGCAUAUUAUUAUAAAAUCCAUGGCUGUCACGUACACAUGAGAAACAAAUCCAUAUUCAAAUCUGGUCAUCCAACAAUUAUUGUCUACCGGCCGACAGGUGGUUCAUUGAGCGCAGAGUCAACAGAUCUAGAUCUUUAGGCAGGCUGGCCAGCCAGUUAUUGUUAUUAUUUAUUUGCGCAUGAGGUGCGUGCAUGUUAGUGUAAAUGCAUGGCAGCCACACACGAGAAAGAAAUCCAUAUUCAAAUUUGGUCUUCCAAUAAUUGUUGUCUACCGGGUGGUUCAAUGAGCGCAGAGUCAACAGAUUGAGAAGAAGAAAAAAAAACACACACAAGCUAAAUCUUGAGAGAAGUGGUACACCUAGAAGCAACAGUUAUUAACGCCGAUAAGGCUUAUCCCGUAAACAUAUUGUAUAUGUUGCAACAAUUUUUUCAUUGCAUGAAUGGUACACUACUGAAGAACCGGGCUUCUGUCCCUUAAUUUUAGUACCGGUUUUCUAAGAAUUGGUACCGAAAUCAAGGAAAAGAAGCCAUGUUAGAGUUAGAUUGGAAACAUCAUUUUCCUAAGAGUUUUUCCAUUUUUUCAAGGGAAAUUAGUUUAUUUUUCCUUAGGAAAAUAGGAAUCUUAUGAGAAAAUGAAGUUCCCAAACUAAACUUUAAUAGUUUCGUUACCGGUUUUAACUGUAAGGGGAUUUAGUAGGGAUGACAACGGAUACUUAGUAGGGUCGCUGCAAAGGUGAACUAGUCCUUAAUAGUAGCAUCGCUGCAAAGGUGAACUAUAAAGUGAAGUGUUUGAAAUAAUCCUGAAACUUUUACUUCCAAUAUGUCAUCAUCUCAAUAUUACUCAAAGCCUGGAUAACCAAUUGACGCCAAGACACAAUCUCUCAUCCUCGAUGGUGUCUCUCCCGGAAUGCGAGAUUUAAGUCUGCUGCGAAGAAGAAGACGGCUCUUUGCGCCAUCGUGGACCGUCUGAGCCCUAUGCGUGGACUGUCCGGACGUACGCAGAGGAGUAGACGCUCCUGCGCCAGGUCGCGGACCGUCUACGUCUCCGCAGAAAGCAUCGUCAGGUGAUUCGUUCUAGUGUUUGGCGCCUAGAUCCGCGCUAACACGUGUGUUUACUUGUGUGUCCGAACUUGUCUAAUUUAUUGGAAAUUCGAAUGAAGUCUCUUCUCUCUCUCUCUCAAGAGGAGAGAUUUG